UAGCUCAGUCAGUAGAGUGUGGAGCUAACAACGCCAAGGCCGUGGGUUCGAUUCCCAU
rnacentral:tRNA from 1 species